CAACUUCUUGUAAACUCCAUACUUGUAACUUUGUUCAAGUAAUACAUAACCAUCUUUGUGUUAGUAUUGCACUACAAAAUCAUACUUGUGAUCCUCACAAACAAAGACUACCGCUGCUAUACAUAACUAAACCCAUCCAAAAGGCUACAAAACCCAUCCAAAAGGCUGAACUUAGAAGUAAUCUAAGUGUCGCACAAGAGUUCAAGAAUAACUCCGUGACAAGUGGUAUCAGAGUCGCGUCGGUUCAUCGGGAUGGCGAACAAGAAAAGCAAGAAGGGAGCAACGAACAAGAAAAUCGUCUCUAGUAAAGAAUAGACACACAACCACAACCAGAAACAACAAGAAGUUGGAAGCGUGUCUAUGGAUUUGGCCGGAUCCUUAGAAAAAAUGAAGACUAGUGUCAAAGCAUCGGUCACACAACUUGGAACUCUUGUCAAUCGUUCCUUGGAAAAGCUAGAUGCUUUGGGAACAUUGCGAGAUGAGUUAAAAGGAAUCAAAAAAGAUCUCAAAACCGCUAUCAACGUCAUACGCCUCGAGAUGCAAGCCAUGAUCCAAGAGGAGAUCGCAACACUGUGGAGAGAGGUAGACGACAAUAUCCAAAACCUUCACAAAAACUUUACUAAGUUGGAAGCAAAAAUGAACGACGCUAACAAGGCACAACUAAAAGUAUGUCUGGGGUCCUCGCAAGUAAGUCAUCUCAACACUUUAAAUACUCAAGAAACUCCCAAAACACGGGAAAAACAUAACAUCAAAAAGCUCCCGAACAAGGGAAAGAAAAGACCAACAACCAUAAAACCAGAAAAGAAGUCGGAAGAAGGACUUCAACUCAUCAACAUGGUGGUAAACGGGAGACCCGUUAAAGCACUAGUUGACAGAGGAGCAAGCCAUAACUUCGUCUCAAUGGAUGAAGCAAUAAGACUCGGUGUUCAGGUCACAAAACAAGAAGCAAUGAUAAAAACCACGAAUGGACCUAUCCAACCAAUACUUGGGAUGGCAUACGACAUCAAAGUCACAAUCGGCAAAUGGAAAGGUAAGAGCGACCUUUCUGUGAUGCCAAUGAAUGACCAUAACUUUGUGCUUGGCCAGGAUUUCUUCGAAAACGAACAGACUUUCCUUAUUCUAUAUGCAAACAAGUUUUGCAUCAUAGACAGAAACCAAGUUCACACAAUGAAGACAGAGACGGACACUAGCCGUCAAGGUAUGUCAAUAACAUCAAUACAAAUGGAGGUUGGUUCAAAAACAAGAUCAACCACACAUUCAUCACAAUUAGGCAUAACCCAAAAUCGCAACGAGGAUGUUGCAUUUUUAGGUGUGGGAGGAUGUCACGCCCCACAAAAAUUCAACUCAAAAUUUCAGCAUUCUGGAAGUUUCCGGAACAUUAAGGAAGCGUCUAGGGCUGCCCGGAAGUCUCUAGAACAGCCUAGACAAUACUAGAAUGUGUUGGCACCCUUAGAAGGUCCUAGAUCAACCAGUACUUGGAACAGUCUAGAAAGGGCUGCAUAAUUCUGCCCAAAAGUUGCAGCCAAGAACUCUCUAGAAGACUCAUGAAAACACUUGAAAAUGCUGGAUAUUUUGGCAAGAAUGCUCUAGAAUUCAGCUCAUAAAUAUCUUGGAUAUUAUGUAAGGAAUUCUCUAGAUCUAGUAGGAAACUAGUAUAAAUAGGUGUUAGGGUCUCAUUUUGAGAUCACCCCCCUCAUAACACAUUCAUAAUCAACUUCUAGUAAACUCCAUACUUGUAACUUUGUUCAAGUAAUACAUAAUCAUCUUUGUUGUAGUAUUGCACUACAAAAUCAUACUUGUGAUCCUCACAAACAAAGACUUCCGCUGCUAUACAUAACCAAACCCACCCAAAAGGCUGAACUUAGAAGUGUUCUAAGUGUUGCACGAGAGUUCAAGAAUAACUUCAUGACAUUAGGAAGUCAAAGAGUGGGUCAUCAAAUCGGAACAGCGCCGAUAUCAAUGGCAGGUCAUCUCGACACACCGGUGGAUCUACGGGUUUCGAUGAGCAUCGUGAAAACUGGAGAAGGACAUAUGGUCGGGAACCUAGUUGGAAAGAACUCUUCUUGCAAACCCACCUCACCAAAGAAUGCAAAGAAAAUUUAAGGAAAGGUGAGAUUAGCAUAUAUGACAUGAAGAAUUUAAAUUUUGUACAAACCGAUCCAAAGAAGUAUAUGGGGGGAGGGGGUACUUGGAGGCGAUGCAUGAUAUUCACAGGUCGGACCUCACUGAUUGUCCUGAUGACCCUAAGGUGUGGGCUCGUGUGUAGGCAGGAGGUCACCCGGGUAUUUGGGGUAGGAUCUUCAGAUCUGUAUUACAUGGUGAGUGGGACAUCAUCAUCUUCUAGUGGGUGUGCACCAUCAUCUGUUGAGUACCAACGAUCCAUAGAAGAGGCUCAAGAAAUGCGAACACAACUAGCAAAGCUUGAAGCUCGCCUCGAAACUGAGACGAAGGAGAGAGAAGAUCUUAGAGUUCGUCUUGAAAGUGAGAGAAAAGCGAGAGAAGACCUCCAACAACACAUAAAUGAAACCAUGAAAAGAGAAUUACAAGACUUUAUGAAGAAUUGGCGUCCUCCUCGUAAUUAGUUAGCAUUUGCUUAUCUUUUUAGCAUAUACGCACGUUAUACGUUUGUUAGUUUUGUGGUUUAGAAACACUAGAAAUGGCGUAAUGUACUAUUUUCGAGUACGGUGAUUUUA